GGGUUGUGAGGUUAAGCGACUAAGCGUACACGGUGGAUGCCCUGGCAGUCAGAGGCGAUGAAGGACGUGCUAAUCUGCGAUAAGCGUCGGUAAGGUGAUAUGAACCGUUAUAACCGGCGAUUUCCGAAUGGGGAAACCCAGUGUGUUUCGACACACUAUCAUUAACUGAAUCCAUAGGUUAAUGAGGCGAACCGGGGGAACUGAAACAUCUAAGUACCCCGAGGAAAAGAAAUCAACCGAGAUUCCCCCAGUAGCGGCGAGCGAACGGGGAGCAGCCCAGAGCCUGAAUCAGUGUGUGUGUUAGUGGAAGCGUCUGGAAAGGCGCGCGAUACAGGGUGACAGCCCCGUACACAAAAAUGCACAUGCUGUGAGCUCGAUGAGUAGGGCGGGACACGUGGUAUCCUGUCUGAAUAUGGGGGGACCAUCCUCCAAGGCUAAAUACUCCUGACUGACCGAUAGUGAACCAGUACCGUGAGGGAAAGGCGAAAAGAACCCCGGCGAGGGGAGUGAAAAAGAACCUGAAACCGUGUACGUACAAGCAGUGGGAGCACGCUUAGGCGUGUGACUGCGUACCUUUUGUAUAAUGGGUCAGCGACUUAUAUUCUGUAGCAAGGUUAACCGAAUAGGGGAGCCGAAGGGAAACCGAGUCUUAACUGGGCGUUAAGUUGCAGGGUAUAGACCCGAAACCCGGUGAUCUAGCCAUGGGCAGGUUGAAGGUUGGGUAACACUAACUGGAGGACCGAACCGACUAAUGUUGAAAAAUUAGCGGAUGACUUGUGGCUGGGGGUGAAAGGCCAAUCAAACCGGGAGAUAGCUGGUUCUCCCCGAAAGCUAUUUAGGUAGCGCCUCGUGAAUUCAUCUCCGGGGGUAGAGCACUGUUUCGGCAAGGGGGUCAUCCCGACUUACCAACCCGAUGCAAACUGCGAAUACCGGAGAAUGUUAUCACGGGAGACACACGGCGGGUGCUAACGUCCGUCGUGAAGAGGGAAACAACCCAGACCGCCAGCUAAGGUCCCAAAGUCAUGGUUAAGUGGGAAACGAUGUGGGAAGGCCCAGACAGCCAGGAUGUUGGCUUAGAAGCAGCCAUCAUUUAAAGAAAGCGUAAUAGCUCACUGGUCGAGUCGGCCUGCGCGGAAGAUGUAACGGGGCUAAACCAUGCACCGAAGCUGCGGCAGCGACACUAUGUGUUGUUGGGUAGGGGAGCGUUCUGUAAGCCUGUGAAGGUGUGCUGUGAGGCAUGCUGGAGGUAUCAGAAGUGCGAAUGCUGACAUAAGUAACGAUAAAGCGGGUGAAAAGCCCGCUCGCCGGAAGACCAAGGGUUCCUGUCCAACGUUAAUCGGGGCAGGGUGAGUCGACCCCUAAGGCGAGGCCGAAAGGCGUAGUCGAUGGGAAACAGGUUAAUAUUCCUGUACUUGGUGUUACUGCGAAGGGGGGACGGAGAAGGCUAUGUUGGCCGGGCGACGGUUGUCCCGGUUUAAGCGUGUAGGCUGGUUUUCCAGGCAAAUCCGGAAAAUCAAGGCUGAGGCGUGAUGACGAGGCACUACGGUGCUGAAGCAACAAAUGCCCUGCUUCCAGGAAAAGCCUCUAAGCAUCAGGUAACAUCAAAUCGUACCCCAAACCGACACAGGUGGUCAGGUAGAGAAUACCAAGGCGCUUGAGAGAACUCGGGUGAAGGAACUAGGCAAAAUGGUGCCGUAACUUCGGGAGAAGGCACGCUGAUAUGUAGGUGAAGUCCCUUGCGGAUGGAGCUGAAAUCAGUCGAAGAUACCAGCUGGCUGCAACUGUUUAUUAAAAACACAGCACUGUGCAAACACGAAAGUGGACGUAUACGGUGUGACGCCUGCCCGGUGCCGGAAGGUUAAUUGAUGGGGUCAGCGCAAGCGAAGCUCUUGAUCGAAGCCCCGGUAAACGGCGGCCGUAACUAUAACGGUCCUAAGGUAGCGAAAUUCCUUGUCGGGUAAGUUCCGACCUGCACGAAUGGCGUAAUGAUGGCCAGGCUGUCUCCACCCGAGACUCAGUGAAAUUGAACUCGCUGUGAAGAUGCAGUGUACCCGCGGCAAGACGGAAAGACCCCGUGAACCUUUACUAUAGCUUGACACUGAACAUUGAGCCUUGAUGUGUAGGAUAGGUGGGAGGCUUUGAAGUGUGGACGCCAGUCUGCAUGGAGCCGACCUUGAAAUACCACCCUUUAAUGUUUGAUGUUCUAACGUUGACCCGUAAUCCGGGUUGCGGACAGUGUCUGGUGGGUAGUUUGACUGGGGCGGUCUCCUCCUAAAGAGUAACGGAGGAGCACGAAGGUUGGCUAAUCCUGGUCGGACAUCAGGAGGUUAGUGCAAUGGCAUAAGCCAGCUUGACUGCGAGCGUGACGGCGCGAGCAGGUGCGAAAGCAGGUCAUAGUGAUCCGGUGGUUCUGAAUGGAAGGGCCAUCGCUCAACGGAUAAAAGGUACUCCGGGGAUAACAGGCUGAUACCGCCCAAGAGUUCAUAUCGACGGCGGUGUUUGGCACCUCGAUGUCGGCUCAUCACAUCCUGGGGCUGAAGUAGGUCCCAAGGGUAUGGCUGUUCGCCAUUUAAAGUGGUACGCGAGCUGGGUUUAGAACGUCGUGAGACAGUUCGGUCCCUAUCUGCCGUGGGCGCUGGAGAACUGAGGGGGGCUGCUCCUAGUACGAGAGGACCGGAGUGGACGCAUCACUGGUGUUCGGGUUGUCAUGCCAAUGGCACUGCCCGGUAGCUAAAUGCGGAAGAGAUAAGUGCUGAAAGCAUCUAAGCACGAAACUUGCCCCGAGAUGAGUUCUCCCUGACUCCUUGAGAGUCCUGAAGGAACGUUGAAGACGACGACGUUGAUAGGCCGGGUGUGUAAGCGCAGCGAUGCGUUGAGCUAACCGGUACUAAUGAACCGUGAGGCUUAACCUUACAACGCCGAAGCUGUU
rnacentral:rRNA from 1 species